UGGGGAAUAUUGGGCAAUGGGCGAAAGCCUGACCCAGCAACGCCGCGUGAAGGAAGAAGGCCCUCGGGUUGUAAACUUCUUUUAUGGAGGACGAAACAAAUGACGGUACUUCAUGAAUAAGCCACGGCUAACUACGUGCCAGCAGCCGCGGUAAUACGUAGGUGGCAAGCGUUAUCCGGAAUUAUUGGGCGUAAAGGGUGCGUAGGCGGCAUGAUAAGUCUGAAGUAAAAGCCAAUGGCUCAACCAUUGUAAGCUUUGGAAACUGUCAAGCUAGAGUACAGGAGAGGUUAGUGGAAUUCCAUGUGUAGCGGUAAAAUGCGUAGAUAUAUGGAGGAACACCAGUGGCGAAGGCGGCUAACUGGCCUGUAACUGACGCUGAAGCACGAAAGCGUGGGGAGCAAAUA
rnacentral:rRNA from 1 species